UGAUUCCUUCCGCAGUGUACACUUGUAGAAGCCUUUGCAGCCACGCUAGAUGGUAGAUCUAGGCGACUUUAAACAAUUCUAGGAUCGCUAUGCAAGUCGGCCCACGCACGUGGUGCCGGCGACACUUUCGAAUUGACGGGGAUACCCUAAAGCCUGUCGCACCAACUCUGUGUGGGAAACCGCUGGAGGGCCCGUGCUAACUACACGGGGUGGUAACAGACGACAUGGAUAUCUCCACGCCUUUUUUGGUGUGGAUACCAUGGGCAAUCCGCAGCGAAGCCUCUAAGUCCGGCCGUCGGAUACGAGGAACGUUCACAGACUAAGUGGAAGUGGGUGGAGCGUUCGCCGCUCUGCUUAAGAUAUAGUCGGUCCCCUUGGGAAACUAAGGGGGUGAGUACACUGCUCGAAAUUUAAACUUGAGCGCGUCUCGGAUGGCGCUCAUGUUAGAAUUUUGAGACUGUCGAUUGCCUCGCGGUUUGACAGCUCUUAAAACGUUCCGUAGGUGAACCUGCGGAAGGAUCAUUA
rnacentral:rRNA from 1 species